rnacentral:lncRNA from 1 species
UGUUAAUAUUUUCUUUACUAAAAAUCACACACACAUUAACAAAACUGGCACCUGAGAAUGUUAUUUGUAUCUAGAAAGCACUGACAUACAGGUUACAGAAAUCCUUCUGCCAGCAAGGUAUGUUUACAGGUCUAUCCAAUUCAAACAGUCUGUGCCUUUCCAAUUUAAUCAUCUUUGGGAGGGAUUCCCUGUUGGCACUGUGUAUUAUCUGGAAGAUGAAAUGUUAAUCUGCUGUAAUUUUUUUUCAGUAAAACGCCUCAUCUGCAUUUCUACCUUCUGAGACUGCAGCAUGUGACAAGAAAUUUGAAUAGCCAUGCUGCCAGCUCAUGCUUCCCUUGGGAGAGGGCAACCCAGGAACCUCAGAAGGUUUUUGCUUUCUGUAAAUAAUAUGGAAGAGAGAACCUAGAAGAAUCCUAGUCACACCUUUUCCAGGGCGAGUAGGAUUUUGGCCACUGAGAAAGUGUUAAACUAAGGAAGGAAACUGUAUGGGCUAAAGUGAAAGAAAUCUUCUGGUGGAAAACCACAGGGAUUGGGAAAAGAUAGGAAAACAGAGCAUAGUGGAUGGAGACCAGCAUUGUGAAGAGCAAGAACACUUAUCAUGCACACUGCUGAUCAUCUCCUGAUCUCCAGAAGGUUGAGGUCCUUUACAUUAAAGAAAAUAUUAAAACACAACUUGAAUCUGAUUCACUGGAUCUUCUGCCUUCUUGGAAGUUGAAUUCUGUGUCCUCGUUUCUGCUCUCUGACACAAAUAUUUUGAUAGCAUCUGAUAUUUAUAAUCAAUUUUAUGUUACCCAGACUUUACUACUAGUUCUUCAUUUGCUUCUGCUUCUACAUACUGAGCGAAUCUUGAGAAAAAUUAGAGAAUUACCAAAAUACCUCAGCUGUGUGCCUGCCAACCACAACUAAGAAAAUUGCUUUCAUUAAAAUAAAACAAAAUA